AUCCAGGAAUGGGAAUCGAACCCACAGUGUUCCGCUUACUGGGCAGAUGCCGUGUCCCCUAGGCUACCCUGGA
rnacentral:tRNA from 1 species